GAUGAACGCUGGCGGCGUGCCUAAUACAUGCAAGUCGAGCGAACAGAGGAGGAGUUUGCUCCUCUGACGUUUGCGGCGGACGGGUGUGUCACACGUGGAUAAUCUAUCUAUAAGACUGGGAUCAAUUCGGGAAAAUGGAGAUAAUACCGGGUCAUCAAUUGAACCGCAAGGUUUAAUAGUGAAAGACGGCUUUGCUGCCACCUAAUGAAGGAUCCGUGCAUCAUUUGCUGGUUGGUAAGGCAACGGCUUACCAAGGCAACGUUGCGUAGCCGACCUGAGAGGGUGACCGGCCACACGGGAACUGAGACACGGUCCAGACUCCUACGGGGGGCGGCGUUAGGGAUUCUUCCGAAAGGGCCGAAAGCCUGCCGGGGCACCGCCGCGUGAGGAAUGAGGUUCUUCGGAUCUUAAAACUCUUUGAUUAGGGAAGAACAAUUGUGUAAGUAACUAUGCACGUCUUGACGGUACCUAAUCAGAAAGCCACGGCUAACUACGUG
rnacentral:rRNA from 1 species